rnacentral:rRNA from 1 species
UACCUGCAGCUCGAGUGGUAACCGCUAUUAUUGGGCCUAAAGCGUCCGUAGCCGGUUUGGUAAAUAUCUGGGUAAAUCGUGAGGCUUAACUUCACGAAUUUCGGAUAGACUGCCAGACUUGGGAUCGGGGGAGGUCAGAGGUACUCCAGGGGUAGCGGUGAAAUGUUGUAAUCCUUGGAGGACCACCGGUAGCGAAGGCGUCUGACUAGAACGAGUCCGACGGUGAGGGACGAAGCCCUGGGGCGCAAACCGGAUUAGAUACCCGGGUAGUCCAGGGUGUAAACGAUGUGGGCUUUGUAUUGGAGGUCCCACGUGGGCGUCCAGUGCAGAAGAGAAGUUGUUAAGCCCACCGCCUGGGAAGUACGGUCGCAAGGCUGAAACUUAAAGGAAUUGGCGGGGAGCACAGCAACGGGAGGAGUGUGCGGUUU